UGGUCAGUAGGUUGGUCGUGCCACCGGUACGUACUGGUCUCACUGAUUCCUCCUUCCUGAAGAACCGUAAUGCCAUUAAUUUGGUGUUGCGGGGAAACAGGACUGUUACUUUGAAAAAAUUAGAGUGUUUAAAGCAAGCUAACGCUUGAAUACAUUAGCAUGGAAUAAUGAAAUAGGACGAACGAUCCUAUUUUGUUGGUUUCUAGGAUUGACGUA
rnacentral:rRNA from 1 species